AACAGGGGAAGGGGUCUAAGUUAAGGGAGAGCAGAAUAAAUAAUUUGUGAACACCUCCAGAUGGUUUGGUCCAGGAGGCCAAUUAGUGCCACACUAUAAAAGGUGCCAGUUAUAAUCUGUCUGUGUCGUUGUUGGUUGGUGUCUGAUGUCACGGUGGCUGUCUGUUCAAUAAACCCGUAUAUGGUACACCUGAACCACCGCCUAUGAUUUUGUUCGUCAUGCCUACGGUAUCAUCCAGCCGCUAAAGGGUCAUUCUAACAGUGAGCCACUGCAGUGAGGAGUAACACACACAUAUUCCAGGGAGAUUAUAGGGAGAAAUGACACCUCGGGAGCCAAAUUUGGGAGUGUUGGCAGGCCUUCCCAACGUAUUCCAAAGAGCCAUUCUUCAAACUUCCACAGCCAUGAAUGUGUGAGUAAUUUUCAAAAUGGGAAAGUUGGACCAUCAUUCCUGAAACCAUUACGACCAGUAUGAAGCUGCAGAGGACUACCUCUUUGACAUCAAAGCUGUGACCAAAGGGGGCCAUGGCACCAGCAGUGAACCCACCCGCAUACCAAAGAUGUCAGGUAUGCCGACUUCCUGUUCCCCAGUGAUUACCCUAAUGUGCCUCACCUGUGUCAUGUUAACAUUACACCCCUAGUGCAUUUUAGCUCAGCUUCCCUUAUGUGACAGUUUGUCUUGUUCCUUAAACAGCUCGUAACCCGAGGUAACAGAGUACUCAACGUUAUAAUGGAACAGUGUCUAAGUUCGAAAAGGAGGGGUUAAGAGAAUGAUUUGACAGACACAGUCAGCCAAUAUGUGUAUCAAAUGAGAAUUGGUAUUAAACAAAAAUUAAGUUUUUUUCAAAUCA